rnacentral:rRNA from 1 species
UACGUAGGUGGCAAGCGUUGUCCGGAUUUACUGGGCGUAAAGAGCGCGCAGGCGGUCGUUCAAGUCGCGUGUGAAAGCCCCCGGCUCAACUGGGGAGGGUCACGCGAUACUGAUCGACUCGAAGGCAGGAGAGGGAAGUGGAAUUCCCGGUGUAGUGGUGAAAUGCGUAGAUAUCGGGAGGAACACCAGAGGCGAAGGCGGUUGCCUGGAGCUUUGCUGACGCUGAGGCGCGAAAGCGUGGGGAGCGAUCCGG